GAAUUAGAAGACCUGCAGGCAGAGCUUAAUAAAGACACUGAAGAGGGAGUGAACAUUCACACACGGGACGAGCCCAGGGAAGCCUUCAACACCAGCAUGGUGGUUAAACACCUGGUUAACUCAGAGGAAUAAAUGGUGUGUAUGUCCUUCAUUGCAGAAGCCAAUAGAAGCUGCCAUCCAACACUCUGCCUACGGUCACCUUGAUUACCCUGUUUCUCUGGCAAUGGCUAAGAACACAAAAUGUCACGUACGCCUGAACUCACGACGUACAAGCAUUUCCUCCCUCACUGUGUGUGUGCAAGAAUGACUUGACCCAUCCAGGCAGGUUUUACACAGCAUCUGACACCUGGACUGUAGCUCAGAAAGUCCCGCAUUUGGAUUUUCUUUUAGGUUUAAUUUGAAAGCCCCUCUAGAAGUUGCCAGCAGUGCUAGGAUCACUGAUGGCCACCCUUUCAUCCAGAUCCUAGUGUGGACAGAUGAGUAUUACUCACAAAGUAAGACACUGCCUG